UCUGCGUUUUUAGCUUCAAGAGAAAAAUCCCUGUUGUGAAAAUGACAAUGAUGGAACGUUCACUCAUCCAUGCGUUAUCUCCGUGACUAACCAUGUGCAAAACAAAGGUGUUUCUACAUUUGCAGUUUUUACCAGGCCUUUGACAAAACUGUCUCUAAUUGUUCCAAAUCAUUUCCAGAUUAGAAACUGUCACUGUCGUCUUAUCUCCUGCAGAAAUCCCUGCUCUGUUUAGUCAGUCAAUUAGCCUCCGAGGUGUAACAGGGAGUAAAAAAGUCAUUUGUUUCCAUGCAAUUCACGCAUGUAAUGAUGUCUUUAACAAACACCCGUCUCUUGUCGGAAAUGAGCGACAUUGACAUUGGCAGAAACACAAACUGCUGCUCUGCCAUUUUCUUUCUUUGCGCUCAGAUUGGAACAUGUCAGCUCUCAAAGGUUUAUCUGACACAAAACAGAACGCCUUUUUUGCACAUUUUUAUUCUUUGAAGAAAAGUUGUUAGAGCAGGGGUUCGCAAACCUUUUAGGGUCAUGAACCAAGAUGAGGUUAAAUAUAUGACGUGUGGACUUGUUCAGUAUUGGUCAGGCGUAGAAAGCUGAGUUAAAAAGAAUAAACCUAAACUUUAAAUAAACAUUUGAUGUCUGCCACCUACAGUCGAUUCGUUGUAAUGCAUGAAACAGAAGACCAGACUAGUUUGUUGGGCCCAAGUAUAAAGCCCAGCGGGCCGUACCUGGCCCACAGGCCAUAGUUUGCCCAGGUGUGUUUUAGAGUAUAGAACACAGUAGUCGUGAGUAAAUCUGGGCGUUCGCAUGAAAAUACACGCUGAUUUAAAUGGAUGAGACACAAAGUCACUUCUGUAUAAUUUCCCUCCGUCGUCGUCCAUUGUGUCUACACACACUUUUCCAACUCCAAUUUAUAUUUAAAAGCACUUUGUGUCCUUGCGUUAUCAAAGUGAAUUGUUUAAGUGCGUCACCUCCUUGACAAUGAUUCCCGCAGCUGUAAAUAUGUCCGGCACGUCCAAUUGAUUCACGGCUGCCAAUAUCAUGACCAUCAUUAAAACAGAUCUGGGAGAAUCUCAGGAUAUGGAUCUUGUCAAGGGCAGCUGUUAUGAGGAUGUUGCGUCGUCACUGACCUCCCUGUGAACCAUCAGCGUUAUCUGUGGAUUAAUUACCCGGCUUUCUCACCCUCUCGCUACCUGCUCUCGCUCUUUACUUUUCUGCAUCAUUUGUUCCCUUAUUCCCUUUGUCCUUUUCUUCUCUCUGAAUUUCAAUGAUCCUCGUCCACCUCUCCUCAUUCCUUAAACUUUACUGUACAUCCCACUUUUGAUUAAAGUACAGCAGACUGCAGAAGAUAAGAAAAGAGACUACACUCACCCCCCCAAACACUUAUAUUCAAGGCCAAGGAAGAUCUUUUUAAACCCUCCACAUCUCCUGCCACCCAGAGGGGCAUUUAGAAACAUAGUGCUGUAUCAAUUGUUUUCACUGGAAGCAAGAUGGAGAGACCCCUACAGGCAAGGGACAAACAGGUAAACAGUUUUUUUUAAUGAUUAAGAAUAUGUACACACACAACAUCAAAUGUUUAGUUCGUCUUAAUCCCAUAAUUAUUUUUUUGUGAUCAGAAUAGUCACGAGUCACCACGUGUUUCAUAAUGAGUUUCUGUAUUAAAAUAAUCUGAAAAACAGUGUUUAUAAACAACCAAUCCCUGGUGCAGAGGCAGAUUUGGACCAGGAAACUUAUAACGUCACACCGUAUAUUGUGUGCAUUAAAAUAGCGCACUGCUGUAUUUUCUGUGACUAGAAAAGAGUGUUCAUGAGUCACUACUGUCUUUCACCCGAGGCUCAGCAGCCAGCCAGCUGAAGCGGGGGGUUGCGGGGGUGUGGGGGGUGGAGGGGGUAUUUUUGUCGUUCUAAUACAGCAUGAAGACAUCAUUAUCCUGAAACACGCUGGAAAACACAGUCUCCAUUGUUUAAAUGGCGCAAAACAGGCAGAUACCAUCAACCGUUUCAUCCUGGUCACAGUCAUGGAGAUCAUUAGAUGUUGCUUCUGUGAUUGCCAGCUUAGCAUCACACCACUGUGUGAACUCUCCCUCAGCGAGGGAUGUGCGAGGGAUGUUAUCUUUUGUCGUGCACACACAAGCGCUGCCUACAGGGAGGGAAGAGGUGUGCAUGCAGAGAACAUGGAUGAUUAGGGCGCAGAGAAGCUCAGCAACUGCCAUGCUCCCUGUGAAUAUUAAGGCGGCCUCACAGGAGACCCCAUUGUCGGCCUCACGUCCUUUUGACGAGUCAUGAAUGGCAUAAAGUGUCUGAGAUCUUCUCUACGUUCCUGCCAUGUCACCUACACUUAAACUCCACAUAUAUAUUUUAAAAGGCUGCACGUCUCCAGACGCAGAAUAUACAGUAUACAGUAUAUACUCAGUCACUCUAACUCCAAGAAUUCAAACUCUAAACUUUUUAUGGCAUUUGUUAAAUAUUUAAAAACAUAAUAAAUCACAGAAUAUUUGAGAAAACCCUCGAGCUCUGUUGAUUUGGCAUCAGAAUCAAUGUUUUGCCACUGAAGUGAUUUUUUUUUUUUUACCAUAAAUUAUUUGCCACUUUAUUACAUAUUAACCACCUGCUGUAGAAGAACAGUUUACUGUGUUAGAACAUCAAGUACGCUACAAGUCUUUUGGUUAAAUUUUGAUAACAAUUUGUUGAGACAAGUUUAUAUUUUUGAUGCUAUCAGUGUAACAAAUCUGUGGACUGUGAAUGUUAGCCAAGAGUCCAGAUGAAGUCUACACUAACAGAGAAGGAGGUGCUCUGUUCUCUCCAUCUCUUUUAAGUGGCGCAUCCAGCCAGUGUGUCAGUGACCUGAUUACCCCAACUGUCAGUCUGACUGAAGUCCAGGCUUUAAAUUCUCCAGUUCCUGGAUUCUCGCUAUGGGUCUGGGAAAGGUCCGGAACAGGACGGAGACAAGUGAAGGCAGCAGACCCAGAGCUACAUACAUUUAGAUUAAUCUGGUUGCCAUAGAGUGGGAUGUAUUUCAGAAAGAUUGUCUGUAAGUGAAAAAUGUUUUCUGCCUUUUGUAAAGUAUUAUUUUUUAUUUUACUGUUGAGUUAAAGCUUAGAUUUCCAUGUUUUGUUUUGUUUUUCUAAAGAACUUCUCAUGUAAAAAGUAUAUAUCACUCAACUAGCUAAUCCCAACAGAAUAAUAACGGAAGGACUCUGUGGCUCCGAGGGGCAGUUGAACACACAGGGCAACAGGAUGCAACCAGUGGGUGGACCCUGUUUCUGUGCAAGUUUCUCAUUUAAUAAAUCCUUCUUUUCCUUUCCAAACAGAGCGCGUUGCCUGAGCCUAAGCCUGGACUCCACAGAGAUUUUUUUUUCUUCUAACAGUCAAUUCUUACUUUUCAUCAUUGUUUUCCUUUUGGAACAACUGAUGAAUGGAUUUUGUUUUUCUCUGGCACAGGUUUUAAAGCUCCGCAAAGAUCUGAAAUCACUCCUUGGAUUGGAUAAACAAGUCUGUGGAUCCUAGGCUCUUCUUCAAACUCCAGAACGAUGGCACAGUGCACGUCUGACAGGUCGAUCCUGAAUCACAAGGACUUGAAAACCGCCUCAGACCAGCCUGCGUCAGCUACACUGGUCAAAGUCAGACCUACAGACCUGGGGCUGGUACGGAGUCUGUCCAAGUCCGACUCUGACUUGUUGGCAUCGCCCAGCGCAGACGAGGAUGGAGGUCUGGCUGCCCGCAGUGGGUCAGUGUCCAACUGCAGCUCUGGGAAGACUUCCACGCAGCGUAUGUCUGCCUUUGCCUCCGAGUGGGAUGAGAUUGAGAAGAUAAUGAACUUGAUUGGAGCAGGGAUUGAAACUUCCAAAUAUAAACAGUCAACACCGAGUCCAGAUGGGGCCUGUGGUAAAGCCCUGGACCAGCCGGUGGGAGAGUGGCUGGAGCACGUGGGGCUGCCGCAGUACGAGAGCAAGUUCCUGCUCAAUGGCUUUGACGACCUUCGAUUCAUGGGAAGUAACGUGAUGGAGGACCUGGAUCUCAGAGACAUUGGGAUCACGGAUCCAGGACACAGAAAAAAGAUCCUCCACGCUGCACGCAGUUUACCCAAGGUGAAGGCACUGGGCUGUGAUGGCAGCACGUCUCUGGCCACCUGGCUGGACGGCCUUGGUCUGCAUGAGUAUCUGCCCAACUUCCUUUCAAGUGGCUACCGCACACUGGAGUGUGUGAAGAACCUGUGGGAACUGGAGAUCAUCAAUGUUAUUAAAGUAACCGCCCUGGGCCACAGGAAGAGAAUCAUCGCCUCGAUAGCAGAGCGACCGUAUGAAGAAGCUCCAUCCAAGUCUCGACGUAUGUCCCCAAUCCUGUUUCAUGACCUCCUGUCCCAGAGCACGACCCCACUCAGUCAGAUGGACCCCUAUACCAGUCGCUCCAUGGACAUGCUCCUGCCCUUGACGGAAUCGGACCGCAGGCGGAGAGGAGUGGACCAGGACUGUAGUGUCUCUCUGCGGUCGUACAGUGACCGGCCUCGCUCUAUGGACAGACAGAGCGACAGACACAAAGAGUCCCGUUUAAACCUGCGGCCACCGAGCCACUCUGCUACCUACACCACGGUGUCGGCCUGGCAUCACCAGCCUGAGAAGCUCAUCCUGGACUCCUGUGGGUACGAGGCUACAUACCUUGGAUCAAUGAUAAUCAGGGACCUGCGAGGAAUUGAGUCCACACAAGAUGCCUGUGCCAAAAUUAGGAAAUCCAAGGAUUCCAGGAAGGGCCCGGUUGUCAUUCUGUCCAUAACCUACAGGGGAGUGAAGUUCAUAGAUGCAGCCACAAAGAGCAUCGUAGCAGAGCAUGAGAUCAGGAAUAUCUCCUGCGCCGCCCAGGACCCAGAUGACCUCUGCACUUUUGCUUACAUCACCAAGGAUCUGAAGAGUGGGCACCACUUCUGCCAUGUUUUCAGCACUGUGGAAGUGACCCAGACCUAUGAGAUCAUCCUCACCCUGGGUCAAGCUUUCGAGGUGGCCUAUCAGAUGGCAAUGCAGUCCAGGGCCAGACACUUUGCAACGCCCACACCUGUGGUCUCAGAGGUCGUGGAGACCAAAGCCAGCCGUCCUGUAUCUCAGUCAUGGAGCAGCAUGCGGAGAUCGGCAGGUGCACCUCCGCUCGAAUGCCGCUGCUGUCACUGUCACACGUGUACUACCCACCGUCCUUCCUUCCUCCCGUUGCACUCUGUUAGCCCUGGAGUCCAGAUCGACCCCCUGGAGAUGGACGCAGACAUGCAGUCUCUGGGCAGCACCACCUGGCUCUUGGACCAGCGGGACUCCAACAACAGGCGCCCCGUCAGCACCAAGUACGAGACAACCAUAUUCUAAGGCCGGACCCCCAACAGCUGCCCCUCUGCACCUCAGUCAUACUUUCUUCUUACCCUCUGAUUCACACACACACACACACACACAAGCCCUGUGCCUUCUCACUGUGAUGGUAUAGCACCCCUCAGGGCUGCCCACUCCUGCUCCCUACUCUGCCCCGCCCAGCGAGCUACACCGACCUCCCACCCACCAUGACAAACACUCCUGCAGCUCUCCUGCGCCUCCCCUCCACUCCAGGCUGGCAGUGUCCUUUGCCUGUUGCUGCUGCAGCCAAUGACAGAGCCCUGGAACUUUCAUCUUUUUUUGAACCAAAACUGCCUCCUCCUCCUCCUCAUCUUCAUCUCCCUUCUUUUGACAACUUCCAUCUGCCUCCAAGUCCCCCAAACUUCUAAAAGGUUCUUCUUCCACUUUCAGCCUUUCCUGUCUUACCAGGCAUCAACCACUGUGAGGCACUGUAAGGAGGCUGUUUUGCUAGCAUGGGAAAGAAUGCACGUUGGGAGUAAAAGAGAAGAGAAAAAUAAAACCCAAAAACGGCCACAUGCAGCAAAACAACCCUUGGUUUUAUUUUUCUACACAUUUGUACAAAACUCAUGAGAACGAACAGCUCCAGAAUCUAAACUGAAAUGGACCAACAAGGACUGAACCCUUGUAUGAUCACACACAAGACAACUUUACUACAUUCAAUCAAGGACGGCAGCCUUACGUACUCCAUUUUUGGGUUAUCUUCAAUUUAAUACAUUUUCCCCUUCACCUCCCAGAACCCUGUCAACCAUCGCCCGACAGAUGCACGCUUCCUCACUAUCUCAACAGGACGGAGAAAAAAAAAAAAAAGCCAACACUUCUGA